rnacentral:rRNA from 1 species
CCUACGGGUGGCAGCAGUGGGGAAUAUUGCGCAAUGGGCGAAAGCCUGACGCAGCGACGCCGCGUGAGGGAUGAAGGUCUUCGGAUCGUAAACCUCUGUCAGCAGGGAAGAACGGUCACUGUGCUAAUCAGCAGUGAAUUGACGGUACCUGCAAAGGAAGCACCGGCUAACUCCGUGCCAGCAGCCGCGGUAAUACGGAGGGUGCGAGCGUUAAUCGGAAUUACUGGGCGUAAAGCGCUCGUAGGCGGUAUGUCAAGUCAAGGGUGAAAUCCCCGCGCUCAACGGGGGAACUGCCUGUGAAACUGGCAGACUGGAGUGUGGUAGAGGAUAGUGGAAUUCCAGGUGUAGGGGUGAAAUCCGUAGAUAUCGGGAGGAACAUCAGUGGCGAAGGCGACUAUCUGGCACAUAACUGACGCUGAGGAGCGAAAGCGUGGGUAGCAAACAGGAUUAGAUACCCUGGUAGUC